rnacentral:rRNA from 1 species
UACGGAGGGUGCAAGCGUUAUCCGGAUUCACUGGGUUUAAAGGGUGCGUAGGUGGCUUGCUAAGUCAGACGUGAAAUCCCUCAGCUUAACUGGGGAACUGCGUCUGAUACUGGAUGGCUUGGAUUCGGGAGAGGAAUGCGGAAUUCCAGGUGUAGCGGUGAAAUGCGUAGAUAUCUGGAGGAACACCGGUGGCGAAGGCGGCAUUCUGGACCGACAUUGACGCUGAGGAGCGAAAGCCAGGGGAGCAAACGGG